CUGCAGGGAAGAUGCGAACCACACUGGUCCACUACUUCUGCCACCAGGUGACAUCUGGCAGCUCUGAGGUUGCAUCCUCACUGUGCUUCAUGAACCUCAUUCCCAACACGAACAUCAGCUGCAGUGACAGCAGAGGCGUGCAUCGAGUCUGUGCGGCCUGCCCGGGAACGUAGCCAUGGCUGCCGGGCGGGCCCCGUCUCUCGCUACCCGGCCAGCCAGUCGAGCCUCACCGAGUCCCGCCGGACUGCCCGGGCCCGCACGGAUGCUUGUGAGGCUUGGCUGUCUGUCAAGUCUCACACCCGCCAGCCACUGCACUGCUGCAGAUGCGACUGACAUCUUUGUGACAGUCAGCAAGUAGUUUUCUUCUUCUGCACAUUAUGUACCGACACGCAACUUCACCUCUGAUCUUAUAGAAAAUUAACUGUAAUGCCUGGAACAGCGUGAUUCCUUAAAUCUGCUGUGUUGCUUGUAGUUGGUAAACCAGUAUAUUGUUACACACUUGUCAUAAAAAAAAAAACUAAUAAUCGAAUUUUUCAAUACAUAACGAGGAAAGGGCCAAUAUUUAAAACUUUUUAUUGACAGAUAUGGAAGAUAGCUGUGUAUCUCUCGGAAGAACUGAUCUUUUUCUGAAAUAAGUUCAUCUUUUUCUUGCCAGUUACAGCUUCCUCAAGACAGUCUGACUUAAGACUUGGCUAAUUUGGCACAUUGUCUUAAAAAUCUCCGGUUUAAAUGUGUUAUUUCAGGGCUCAAACACAAACACUGUUUCGAAUAGUUCAUUAAAAAUGUUGCAGUUUGGGAAAUAUUUUUAAAUUCCAAUAAAGUUCAGUGCUUUGACAUCCUACACGAUUUCCUACAAACAAAUUCAUCCUUCUUUGGAUGAAAAUAUCAAGAACACAAUGGAAAAACUUUCAGAGAUUAUUUUUCUGUUGUGUCUAGUAACAAGAGCUGGAUUUGAAAUCUUGUAGAAAAGACAAUUUUCGAAUUCACAUAUACAGUAAAUUAAAAUGAGCAGCUCCCGGAAACUUUCAGUCACUGUAAAUGACAGAAAUGUUAUAAAUCUUUGUCACGGAUAAGUACCUAGUGAAACUGAAAGGCGAAAAUCCCAACUGUACCAAAUAAAGCAGUAACGAGAUACCUGCCUCAUCCAAACAUUUGUCUGUAAAGGCUUUUCCAUCUUACACUUAUAUAAAAAAUAAGUAGAGAAACAACCUUUUUGGCGAAAGUAACCAGAAAUUGUCUUGAAUUCUGUGAUUCCUGUCUUGAAACUUUUGUGCCAUUCAAAGCAGACGGAUCCUUCUCAAUAAAUUCGAAGAAAGGGUUUAGCCAGUUAAUUCCAUAAUAAAAUCUUAUAGGCCAGGAGAAAAGCGUAAAAUAUUUUAAUAUUGCAUACUAGACGUACCCCUCUUGAUGUGACACAACUGAAAUGUAAACCAUAAAAAAGCACUAGGGAUUUUAAACAUUUCCUUGGAAUUCCGUUACUUGUAUGUCACACUAAGUACUUUUUUAUAAGGUGUGAGUUCACAGAUAUCAGAUUUCUGUGACGGGGUGUCACAUCACCAAACGUUUAGGAACCACUGCUCCAAGGUAUCUGCAAAAAUGACAUCACAGCUGUACGAUAGAGCCACGAAAUUAUCAAUUGGAUGCGAAUGUAUUUGUUAAAGUUAAAACAAUGAAGGAACAAAAACUGCAGGCAGUAAAGACAAACGAAGUUUAUUGGAAAUUUUCUUUUUUCAUGUAAAUAAAGCAACAUUCUUCUUGUAAUGCUAUAACGACCUUCUGGCUGAAUUCAUUCCUGAAACAAGCAAUUAAGACAUUAGAGAUUUGUGGUAACGAAAAUAAGAUGUUAUGGAAACCUAUGUGAAACUUACAAUGCUGUUGCAGUGCACCACAAGCAGGUCAUUCACAUUUUCUGUAGAUAUUCCAUUACGUUUAUCGGUAAUAACAAAUCCAGCUCUACUAAAUACCCUCUCACUAGAGGCAGGUGUACAAAGGACUUAUCAUGCUGCUUGCGACAGUCUGGGAUACUUUGUUGUUCUCGAUUUCCACCACUCCAGAAGUGACUGCUCUUUGUCUGGUUUCUCCAUUAAGAGAUACAUGGAAACCUCAUCGACAGUUUCCUCCUCCUCCGCCCACGAUGUGAAGACACUUUGCACGUUUUGAAGAUGUUGAUGGCAAGGCUCCG